AUCCAUGGUAAGUGCUUGGCUGAUUUAUGUGGGGCAUUGCAUUGUGAGGUCGUGAUUUAUAAGGUUUACACCUAGACCUCUAAAACCAAGUGUAAUCCGGCAGCUUCUGGGAGAAAUGGUCACCUAUGUUAGUUUGCUCUUCAGUGUUUUUCCCUUUUGGUGCACAAGCACUCUUGCAUUGUUCACUAAUGCUAGAUAUUAAAACCCAAUCCACGUCCACAAUUUAUUUAGUGUCUUGCAGACAGAUGGGUUUCCCUUAAAUGGUUGUCUCUCAGCAAACCGCCUUCAUGAAUUGUUUCUGUGCCAAUGUUGUGAUGCCCAAACCUGCUCAAGGAAACAGAAACCUUUCAUUAGAGGUGGCAGGAUUAAACUGUUCCAAUCACUGUGUUGUAGUAAUGCGACUGAUUGGAUGAGGUUGGAGGAUGUACUACAAGUACUGACGUUAGCUUAUCCUCCAAAUAGAUUCUAUUGGCUGCUUGACGGGGGAGGAAUGUAGAGAAUUCUGGUUGGGUGUAACUGACUCUUCCCGGUGCUGAGUUGUUGAUGAAUUGAGUGAACACCUGGUGAAAGAUGCUAUUUGAUCAUCAUUAUGCUAGAGAAAGUAAACUUUUGAUUCAUCAAGCUUUUAUUGUAAUAUUAUGUUCUUUUUUUGUAAUGUUGCCUUUCAUUUUCUUUUUCGUAUUAGUGUAUUUUCAUUUUUUUUUGUUGAAGGUGUUAUUAUCGUCAUCCUUUUUCUAAAAGGUCCUUCCUUCUAUUGACUUUUUUAUGCUCUUCGCAAGUGAAUGAACGUUUGUCUUA